rnacentral:rRNA from 1 species
GGGAUUGCCUCAGUAACGGCGAGUGAAGCGGCAACAGCUCAAAUUUGAAAUCUGGCGCCUUGGGCGUCCGAGUUGUAAUUUGUAGAGGGAGUCUCGGGUUAAGGGUCGGUCCAAGUGCCUUGGAACAGGAUACCGAAGAGGGUGAGAGUCCCGUAUCCGGCCGACGCCAGCGCCCGUGUGAGGCCCCUUCGACGAGUCGAGUUGUUUGGGAAUGCAGCUCUAAAUGGGUGGUAAAUUCCAUCUAAAGCUAAAUACUGGCCAGAGACCGAUAGCGCACAAGUAGAGUGAUCGAAAGAUGAAAAGCACUUUGAAAAGAGAGUCAAACAGUACGUGAAAUUGUUGAAAGGGAAGCGUAUGUGGGCAGACUUGGACGCUGGAUUCAGGCCGUCUUCUGGCGGGUGUAUUUUCCAGCGGACAGGCCAGCAUCGGUUCUGAGGGCCGGACAAAGACGAAGGGAAUGUGGCUCCUCUCUGGGGAGUGUUAUAGCCCGGCGUGCAAUGCGGCCACUUGGGACCGAGGACCGCGCAUUUUGCAAGGAUGCUGGCGUAAUGGCCUCAUACGGCCCGUCUUGAAACACGGACCAAGGAGUCUAACAUCUAUGCGAGUGUUUGGGUGUCAAGCCCGGGCGCGCAAUGAAAGUGAACGGAGGUGGGAGUCUGUGUUAGAGCGGAUGCACCAUCGACCGAUCCUGAAGUAUUCGGAAGGAUUUGAGUAAGAGCAUAGCUGUUGGGACCCGAAAGAUGGUGAACUAUGCGUGAAUAGGGUGAAGCCAGAGGAAACUCUGGUGGAGGCUCGCAGCGG